UACGUAGGUGGCUAGCGUUGUCCGGAUUUACUGGGCGUAAAGAGCGCGCAGGCGGUCGUUCAAGUCGAGUGUGAAAGCCCCCGGCUCAACUGGGGAGGGUCAUUCGAUACUGAUCGACUCGAAGGCAGGAGAGGGAAGCGGAAUUCCCGGUGUAGUGGUGAAAUGCGUAGAUAUCGGGAGGAACACCAGUGGCGAAGGCGGCUUCCUGGCCUGUAACUGACGCUGAGACGCGAAAGCGUGGGGAGCGAACCGG
rnacentral:rRNA from 1 species